rnacentral:rRNA from 1 species
UACGUAGGGUGCGAGCGUUAAUCGGAAUUACUGGGCGUAAAGCGUGCGCAGGCGGCUUUGCAAGACAGAUGUGAAAUCCCCGGGCUCAACCUGGGAACUGCAUCCGAAACUGCCUUGCUCGAGUAUGGGAGAGGGAAGUGGAAUUUCCGGUGUAGCGGUGAAAUGCGUAGAUAUCGGAAGGAACAUCAGUGGCGAAGGCGACUUCCUGGACCAAUACUGACGCUCAGGUGCGAAAGCGUGGGGAGCAAACAGG